AGGAGCUUGCUCCUUUGACGUUAGCGGCGGACGGGUGAGUAACACGUGGGUAACCUACCUAUAAGACUGGGAUAACUUCGGGAAACCGGAGCUAAUACCGGAUAAUAUUUCGAACCGCAUGGUUCGAUAGUGAAAGAUGGUUUUGCUAUCACUUAUAGAUGGACCCGCGCCGUAUUAGCUAGUUGGUAAGGUAACGGCUUACCAAGGCGACGAUACGUAGCCGACCUGAGAGGGUGAUCGGCCACACUGGAACUGAGACACGGUCCAGACUCCUACGGGAGGCAGCAGUAGGGAAUCUUCCGCAAUGGGCGAAAGCCUGACGGAGCAACGCCGCGUGAGUGAUGAAGGUCUUCGGAUCGUAAAACUCUGUUAUUAGGGAAGAACAUACGUGUAAGUAACUGUGCACGUCUUGACGGUACCUAAUCAGAAAGCCACGGCUAACUACGUGCCAGCAGCCGCGGUAAUACGUAGGUGGCAAGCGUUAUCCGGAAUUAUUGGGCGUAAAGCGCGCGUAGGCGGUUUUUUAAGUCUGAUGUGAAAGCCCACGGCUCAACCGUGGAGGGUCAUUGGAAACUGGAAAACUUGAGUGCAGAAGAGGAAAGUGGAAUUCCAUGUGUAGCGGUGAAAUGCGCAGAGAUAUGGAGGAACACCAGUGGCGAAGGCGACUUUCUGGUCUGUAACUGACGCUGAUGUGCGAAAGCGUGGGGAUCAAACAGGAUUAGAUACCCUGGUAGUCCACGCCGUAAACGAUGAGUGCUAAGUGUUAGGGGGUUUCCGCCCCUUAGUGCUGCAGCUAACGCAUUAAGCACUCCGCCUGGGGAGUACGACCGCAAGGUUGAAACUCAAAGGAAUUGACGGGGACCCGCACAAGCGGUGGAGCAUGUGGUUUAAUUCGAAGCAACGCGAAGAACCUUACCAAAUCUUGACAUCCUUUGACAACUCUAGAGAUAGAGCCUUCCCCUUCGGGGGACAAAGUGACAGGUGGUGCAUGGUUGUCGUCAGCUCGUGUCGUGAGAUGUUGGGUUAAGUCCCGCAACGAGCGCAACCCUUAAGCUUAGUUGCCAUCAUUAAGUUGGGCACUCUAAGUUGACUGCCGGUGACAAACCGGAGGAAGGUGGGGAUGACGUCAAAUCAUCAUGCCCCUUAUGAUUUGGGCUACACACGUGCUACAAUGGACAAUACAAAGGGCAGCGAAACCGCGAGGUCAAGCAAAUCCCAUAAAGUUGUUCUCAGUUCGGAUUGUAGUCUGCAACUCGACUACAUGAAGCUGGAAUCGCUAGUAAUCGUAGAUCAGCAUGCUACGGUGAAUACGUUCCCGGGUCUUGUACACACCGCCCGUCACACCACGAGAGUUUGUAACACCCGAAGCCGGUGGAGUAACCAUUGGAGCUAG
rnacentral:rRNA from 1 species